UUUCAUCAUUUUUAAAAAUCACUUUUAUGGGAAUUUUUAGUCAGUAAUUAUGUUUAGUCCUCUGUAUCACUUAGUCUUGCCAAACUUUAUCUACCAACUUUGUCAUUUUUAUGAUUUAACUGCAUUUUUAUUAUUUUAUUUUCUAUCUGUAAUUAAAUUAUAUCAAAUUUGAACUAGAAAACAGAUAGCAUAUUGCCAUUUUUUUACCUGCAUUUAACAGUUUCUUUUUUACCUGUAAAAGGCUUCUAGUUGGCAUAUUCAAACUGCACUCUGAUAGAGGCAUGAAAUUUUAAUACAUCUGGUUUAUCCCAGGUAAUUUAACUUAAUUGUGAUGUAUAUUUUUACUUAUGAGAAAUAAAAUUAAGGAUGGUACUAAACAUCUCAGAUUUGAAAAAAUAGAAAGGGGCAUUAAACCAUUUAAAGUUAAUGAGACAUAGAUAAACAAUCCAAUUAUAUCUGUUAAAUCAUCCAUGUAAUGGUAUUUUUGCAAGUUGAUUUUUCCCAAAUUAAUUUUAACAAAUUUUCUCUUUGGAAAAUGUUAUUUUCAGGAGUUGGCUUUUAGCAAAUUCUUUUAAAGGAAUCAUUUUGCUUACAAUUUUUACCCACUCUAUAGAAGUAAAAACUGAGUUGCAAAGAGUUUUGGUAGCUUGUCCAAGGUAACCCAAGAAGUAAAGGGCAAAUCAGAUUUUCUUAUCUGUUUGAUUAACAUCUGUGUCCUUAAUCACUACUCUAUGUUGCUUCUCAUAUUAUUAAAAUUCUGAUUUUUAAAAAUUAAUUCAUCUCAGUUUUCACUUUAUUGUUUAGAAUUCGUGGAUUUAAAUGGCAUCAUGAAGUUAAAGAAUGUGCUGCUUCCUAGUGAGGAAUUAUUCAAAGACAACCUGAAUAUAUUCAUUAGAUGAGGAAACUGAAACACACAGAGGUUAAGAAGCUUCUUCAAGAUUGUUAAAAAGUCUUCAGGGUUUAUAUUUUAUACAACACUAUUCGACAAGAAAACCAACGCUCCCAACCACUAAUCUAUGGUGCAAAUUGGAGAGAAAAAAAAAAAGGUUAAUGACGGAGUUUCGCUCUGCCACCCAGCAUGAUCUCGGCUCACUGCAAGCUCCGCUUCCCGUUUUCACGCCAUUCUCCUGCCUCAGCCUCCCGAGUAGCUGGGACUACAGGCGCCUGCCACCACACCCGGCUAAUUUUUUGUAUUUAUAGUAGAGACGGGGUUUCACCGUGUUAGCCAGGAUGGUCUCGAUCUCCUGAUCUCGUGAUCCGCCUGCCUCGGCCUUCCAAAGUGCUGGGAUUGCAGGUGUAAGCUACCGCUCACGGCCGUUACCUAUUCUUUUUUUUGUUUUGUUUUGUUUUCUUUUUGCAAACCAAAGAAUUUUAUUUGGAGUAAUAGCUAAGAAAACAGCUUUUUAUGGAAACUGAAAAAGAGAGUAGAGGAAAUGUAAGAGCUACUCCUUAAGAAAUAACUUUAAUAGUUAAAAAACUUUCGUAGAAUCUUACUAAAAAGGAGACAACAUUAGUUUAACUUUUGACAGAGAUAAAAAUAACUGAGCAAGAAUCUGGCCUAAUAACCAGACCUUGGAUUAGUAUACUUUCUAGUUAUAGAUGUAAAACCUCAAAGUACAUAUAUUCAGUACAAGUCAAAAAAAUAUAAAAUAGUGCUAGAACAUCCUUUACUUUUUCAUGUCCUUGAAAAUGAGAAGAGUAAUAUACUUAAGUAAUUCCUUCUUAAGAAUGUCCCUUAAACUGUAACAACUUCAUAGCAGCUUGACUUAGUGUACUUAUUCCUUAAAACAGCAGUCCCCAACCUUUGGGCACCGGGGACUGGUUUCAUGGAAGACAACUUUUCCACGGAUGAGGGGGGUGGUUUGGGGAUGAAAUUGUUCCACCUCAGAUCAUCAGGCAUUAGUUAGAUUCUCAUAAAAAUAUGCACAACCUAGAUUCCUCACAUGCGCAGUUGACAAUAGGGAUCACACUCCUAUGAGAAUGUAAUGCCGCUGAUCUGACAGGAGACAAAACUCAGGCAGUAAUGCUGGUUCACCUGCUGCUCACCUUCUGCUGUGCAGUCCAGUUUCUAAUAGGCCACAGACCUGUACCAGUCCGCGACGCAGCAUGUGGGGACCGCUGCUUUAAAAGUCAUAAAGAUGAUAAAUUCAGAAAUAAUUUAAGCAGCCUACUCUCAAAUAAAUACUUGUAAAAUAUUGAAAUGUCUAGGAGCCAAGUGGUCCAGAAAUGAGAAGUACAUCAUAUUAUACGUUCCUUUUGUCACUAAUUUAAAUCAUUCUUUCAUUUACAGCUCAGGGUCCUUUAAUUGUCUGCCUAGUCUAUACAUAUAAGUUAUAAAGUACCUACUAUGAUCUACAUGAAAGGAAAGUAUUAUAGAGAACAAACAGAGCCAAUGAAAUCCCCAAAUUAGAAAUAUUCCUUCCUUAGGUAGAUUUGGUAAAAUAAAAUAAAACAAAAUAAAAUAGCCACUGUUUAGCUUAUGUUGCCAAGUCAAUUGACUAGAAACUAUAGUUUUUUGUUGGUUUGUUUGUUUGUUUUUGUAAAUAGUGUUUCACUUUGUCACUCAGGCUGGAGUGCAAUGGUGCAAUCUGGGCUCACUGCAACCUCAGCCUCCCAGGUUCAAGCGAUUCCCCUGCCUUAGCCUUCCAAGUAGCUGGGAUUACAGAUGCCCACCACCACGCCCAGCUACUUUUGUUUCUGUAUUUUUAUUAGAGAUGGGGUUUCACCAUGUUGGCAAGGCUGGUCUUGAACUCCUAACCCCAAGUGACCGCCCACCUCAGCCUCCCAAAGUGCUGGGAUUACAGGCAUGAGCCACUGCGCCCAGCCUAGAAACUGUAGUUCUUAAAUGUUUCUCUGGUAGACUCAGAAAUAAUUAGCUCUGUCUUGUUUUCCUUCCUCUUUCUUCCUUCUCUUUCUCUUCCUCCCUUUUCUUAUUUAAAUAUUAACCUUUGAAAUGAUUGUAGUUAACAACAAUAUACUGUAUUCUCGAGAAAUGCUGAGAGUAGAUUUUAAGUGUUCUCAUCACAAAAAUGAUAACUACAUGAGGUAAAGUAUGUUAAUUAGCUUGAUUUAGCCAUUCCACAAUGUAUACACAUUUCAAAUUACCAUACUGUGUACACUAAAAAUAUACAAUUUUAUGUCAAUUUAAAAAAAUAAAAAAUUUAAAAACCUAAUGAAGUAACAGAAUGAAGCAAAUAGUAUCCUCUCCUGAUUUAACUCAGAGGCUUUACUUUAGCAUUUCUUCAUUAUUGGAUCAAAUCAAAGUUCACAGUAGCUCUUCAAUAAAUAUUUCUUGAAUAAAUGAAUGGAUCAAAUUCAGGGAAUAUGGGAAUAAAUAAUGGAGUGAGUUAAAAUAUGUAUCACUUUAAGAUUUGGAACCUCUGGGAAAAUUAUUUUUUAUUUCUGAUCACAUAAUACCCUCAAGUUAUUUCAUUCCUUCAUUUUUUUUUAUUUGGACAGAAUAGAAUAUUUUUCAUCCAUGCUACUUAAACGUUCUUUUGGGUCCUUGCUGUCUUUUGCUAUAACCUGAAUAUCAAUUGUUCUUUAAUAUUUUAUCUUUAGUGUUUGGCUAAGUUAUAUUUCAUGGCAUGUAAUAACAUUUGUAAUGCUAUUCAUAGUAGAUAGAUUCAAUUUGCCCUCUCAAUGGCUUUAUACUUGAAUAAGCACCUGUGCUUUUUCUACUGAGCCUAUGAAAAGUUUCUCAUCAAAAUAUAUACUUUGUUGGUAAGCAUAUCCUGUUAUUUGGUAUUUUAUUUGACAUUAAAUAUAUGAACUAGUAUAAAAGUACAAAAAUAUGAAAGAAAGAAAUAAUAAUUGAAAUUUAGCAUAAUUAAUGCUCUAUUUUUCAAAAGAACCAUUAAGAAAAUGAGUUGGCAAGCCAUAGAGUGGGGAAAAUUAUUUCCAAUCCAUAUAUCAGAUAAAGGACUCAUAAUCAGACUAGAUAAAGAAUUGUACAUAAGAAAUACAAAGAAAAAUCAAUAAAAAUGGUCAAAAUUUAGAACAGAUGUAUGAAAAAGAAUGACAAAAUAUCUAAGAAGCACAUAAAAAUGUGCCCAACAUUAUUAGUUGUCAAGGAAGCAUAAAAUCAAAAUAGUUGACUACUAUACAUUCCUAAAAUGGCUAAAAUUUUUAAAGACUGACAAAACCAAAGGUUACCGUGAAUAUACAGCAACUGGAGCUUUUCUAAUUAGUAGUGGUUGAGUAACAUAAUAAAAAUAAACAGGAAAAUUAAUAAUUUCUUAUAACAAUGCAUAUUUACUUCUUCUGUGAUCUAGUGAUUCCUCUUCUAUGUAGAGUGCAAGAUAAAUUAAAAUAUAUGUACAUAAAAUGUUCAUACAAAACUAUUUACAAUAGCUGAAUUCAUCCUAGCCAAAAC
rnacentral:lncRNA from 10 species